rnacentral:rRNA from 1 species
GAUGAACGCUGGCGGCGUGCCUAAUACAUGCAAGUCGAGCGAACAGACGAGGAGCUUGCUCCUCUGACGUUAGCGGCGGACGGGUGAGUAACACGUGGAUAACCUACCUAUAAGACUGGGAUAACUUCGGGAAACCGGAGCUAAUACCGGAUAAUAUAUUGAACCGCAUGAUUCAAUAGUGAAAGACGGUUUUGCUGUCACUUAUAGAUGGAUCCGCGCCGCAUUAGCUAGUUGGUAAGGUAACGGCUUACCAAGGCGACGAUGCGUAGCCGACCUGAGAGGGUGAUCGGCCACACUGGAACUGAGACACGGUCCAGACUCCUACGGGAGGCAGCAGUAGGGAAUCUUACGCAAUGGGCGAAAGCAUGACGGAGCAACGCCGCGUGAGUGAUGAAGGUCUUCGGAUCGUAAAACUCUGUUAUUAGGGAAGAACAAAUGUGUAAGUAACUAUGCACGUCUUGACGGUACCUAAUCAGAAAGCCACGGCUAACUACGUG